CCCUUAGAUGUUCUGGGCCGCACGCGCGCUACACUGAUGCAUUCAACGAGUCUAAAACCUGCUCUGAUAGGGGUGGGUAAUCUUUUGAAUGUGCAUCGUGAUUGGGAUAGAUGAUUGCAAUUUUUCAUCUUCAACGAGGAAUGCCUAGUAGACGCAAGUCAUCAGCCUGCAUUGAUUACGUCCCUGCCCUUUGUACACACCGCCCGUCGCUCCUACCGAUUGAAUGAUCCGAUGAAUAUCAUGGAUUGAGGAUGCAAGUAGGUUAGCCUAUCUUCAUCUUCGAGAAGUGAAGUAAAUCUUAUCAUUUAGAGGAAGGAGAAGUCGUAACA
rnacentral:rRNA from 1 species